rnacentral:rRNA from 1 species
GCGAGUCAUUGUAGCAAUACAAGGCAGACGGCUCAGUAACGCGUAGUCAAUCUACCCUAUGGACGGGAAUAACCUCGGGAAACUGAGAAUAAUGCCCGACAGAACAUUAUACCUGGAACGGUUUAUGUUUCAAAUGAUUUAUCGCCGUAGGAUGGGACUGCGGCCUAUCAGUUUGUUGGUGAGGUAAUGGCCCACCAAGACUAUUACAGGUACGGGCUCUGAGAGGAGUAGCCCGGAGAUGGGUACUGAGACACGGACCCAGGCCCUAUGGGGCGCAGCAGGCGAGAAAACUUUGCAAUGUGCGAAAGCACGACAAGGUUAAUCCGAGUGGUUUCUGCUAAAGAAACCUUUUGCUAGUCCUAGAAACACUAGUGAAUAAGGGGUGGGCAAGUUCUGGUGUCAGCCGCCGCGGUAAAACCAGCACCUCAAGUGGUCAGGAUGAUUAUUGGGCCUAAAGCAUCCGUAGCUCGUUUUGUAAGUUUUCGGUUAAAUCCAUACGCUUAACGUAUGGGCUGCCGGGAAUACUGCAUAACUAGGAAGUGGGAGAGGUAGACGGUACUCGGUAGGAAGGGGUAAAAUCCUUUGAUCUAUUGAUGACCACCUGUGGCGAAGGCGGUCUACCAGAACACGUUCGACGGUGAGGGAUGAAAGCUGGGGGAGCAAACCGGAUUAGAUACCCGGGUAGUCCCAGCUGUAAACUAUGCAAACUCAGUGAUGCAUUGGCUUGUGGCCAAUGCAGUGCUGCAGGGAAGCCGUUAAGUUUGCCGCCUGGGAAGUACGUACGCAAGUAUGAAACUUAAAGGAAUUGGCGGGGGAGCACCACANGGGUGAAGCCUGCGGU